UACGUAGGGUGCGAGCGUUAAUCGGAAUUACUGGGCGUAAAGCGUGCGCAGGCGGUUUUGUAAGCCAGAUGUGAAAUCCCCGGGCUUAACCUGGGAAUGGCAUUUGGGACUGCAAGGCUUGAGUGCGGCAGAGGAGACUGGAAUUCCUGGUGUAGCAGUGAAAUGCGUAGAUAUCGGGAGGAACACCUGUGGCGAAAGCGGCUCACUGGACCACAACUGACGCUGAUGCGCGAAAGCUAGGGGAGCGAAUGGG
rnacentral:rRNA from 1 species